GUCCUGCAGGUGCUGGGGAAAUGUCACUGUGAGAAGAAUAGAAAACUUAUUCCAAAGAGUAUUGAAGACUGACUGAAUCAGGUCUGGAACAUUAUUGAAAUGGAUAAUUAUGCGUUGAAGAAAAAGGCAUUCAAUGAGGAGCAAAUGGCAAAAGCAAAUGUGUUAAGAUUCUAAAAAUGACUACUAUCCUAGUAAAAAAUGACUACAUUUUAUACUAUGUGCUAUACACACACACAUACUCACCUGAUCAGAUGGGCGCUACGGAGUGUGUCUGAAGGCAGCAGGUUUUGCCAAUUGUUCUUAUCCGGUUUCUUCAGUUGACUGACAAAAAAGUACCAAUAAAUGCGCAGUUAGACAAUGUAACUGAGUCAUCGUCAAUGUUGAAUUUUAAAAUUUGAUCAUCUGAAUAUUGGAAGAAAGAAUCAUUCUAAUGAUUGCAGUUCUUCUGAGCAGUUCUUAACGUAUUUUGUCACAAGGCUCACAUUUCAGAAGAUAGAGAAAAGAAAAAUAAAAUUACCAUUAUGGACUGAAGUCUGAGAAGCUGGUAAAAAAAUGUGUGGGUUUGGAGAAACUUUAACACAAGUUCUUAUAAUAACUCACUGAUGAGAUCCCAGCGUCAUUGUUGAUAACACGUAAGGACACGUGGAGAAUGAGGGAGGCAUCAAAAGAUGCAAACAUCCGUGGCAGAGACAUCUAGUUGCUCACCCCAAGAGUCAGUCACUUUUUCUUCUUUCCUAACAGGACUACAGUGAACUAAACACAAGUAACUAACCUGAUUUCAUUUGGGGCAAUGUUUUCAAUGGCUGGUGACAAUAUUCUGGCCAAGGAAAUCCAAGAGCAGGUGUUAAUGCGAGUUCUGAGUUGACCAAGAUCACUGAGCCAGGAAGAGUGGCUCUUUUUUCUCUCUGCUGUUCUGGCAACUGUCAUCCUGUAAUGAAGCCAUCUUGGGUCAUGGCAGAGUCUGAAAGAGGGAGGUUAUGAGUUGAGAACAGUGAAAGUGACAAUUGAGACACGGAUUCUUCAUGGCUCCACGGACUGUCUGCCACUGACCUAUCUCUGGAUUCUCUUAUUUCAGAAAAAAUAAAACACAUCUCUUUGA